rnacentral:lncRNA from 1 species
CAGAUAUCAUCAGUCAAGUGGCGCGACAGCGCGUCCCAUCGGUCGGGUCAAUUCGCUGUGACAGCGCUCUCUGCUGGUAUGAUUUAUAAUCGCAGACAGAAGACACUCGAGAAGGGAUCCCGAGAGCCCCACAGAUAAUCGUUGUGGCGCACACGAUUUAUCAUCUUAUUAAGCAAAUCGAUAAUGUUAUUACAAUAUCUACGAAACGCCACUCUAGAUGAAUCGUGGCAAGUGCUGGCUGAUACGAUGGUAAACAAAGAAAACGACGAGAACCCAAGGAAGCCGAGAUAACACAUGAUGGUUUUCGAAUGGUUAAUUGAAAGUGCAUAUCCA